rnacentral:misc_RNA from 1 species
GAUGAAGAACGUAGCGAAAUGCGAUAAGUAGUGUGAAUUGCAGAAUUCAGUGAAUCAUCGAAUCUUUGAACGCACAUUGCGCCCCAUGGUAUUCCGUGGGGCAUGCCUGUUCGAGCGUCAUUUACCCCCUCAAGCUCCGCUUGGUGUUGGGCGUCUGUCCCGCUUCGCGCGCGGACUCGCCCCAAAGGUAUUGGCAGCGGUCGUGCCAGCUUCUCGCGCAGCACAUUGCGCUUCUCGAGGCACCGGUGGGCCCGCGUCCAUCAAGCUCACCCCCCCAGUUUGACCUCGGAUCAGGUAGGGAUACCCGCUGAACUUAAGCACAUCAAUAAGCGGAGGA